GUAUUCCUGCUUAGUACAGAGAGGGACUGCAGGUUCAGACAUUUGGGGUUUGUGCUUGGCUAAAGAACCAAUGGGGUAAAAGUACCACCUGAGGAAUUAUGAUUGAAUACCUCUAAGUCAGAAUCCCACC
rnacentral:ncRNA from 1 species